CCCCAGCAGCCGGCUCGACACCGCCCUUUCCCUCUGAAGGGCCACUCGUUUUAGCCACGUCCUCUUAUUGUCCCUCCCCUGGCCACACCCCUUCAGACAUGCGUAGUGCUCCCCUUGGUCCAGCGCGGGAAGCUCCCUCGUGAGUGUCCGAAACUAUUAGCUCACUCACUGCCUCAUGUGAAGAUUAACUCUUAAGUACUCCACAACUACACGCUUUUGAAACUGGCGUUGGCAUAGCGUUAGUUCUGUGCAGGGCGGACGCAGCAGGACAGAAUCUCCCUGGGCAUCUUUUCGGAGCAUCAAUUUUACUGCAAAAUUUUGAAAAAACAAAUUUAAUUGAUUUCCAAGGUUUGUCAAGGAGGACAGAAACUCAGAGCACCCUGCACUUGGGGAUCGGCACUAGGAGCUGCUCUCUGGAUGGGGAGAUGGGAGCUAGCAGCUCACAAUGGGGUCACAAGAAUAUUGGUUCUUCUUUUAUCUGAAGUGAGGAGCACCAGAGGACUGAUCACGGCAUAGACAUUGACUACAAGACUCUGAACUUGCUG
rnacentral:lncRNA from 1 species